GAAUUCCAGGAUCGCCCCCCGUCCAGCGAGGUUUCGCUCACGGGGGUAUUGGUG
rnacentral:sRNA from 1 species